CCUCUACAUAACUACUCCAAUGCCACGUAUCUGCAUCUGCACCUGCACCAAAGUUUUGUAAUUCUACGGCUCGUGGUAGUCUGUUGUUGUGAAGGUGGGAUGUAGCUGAGUGUAUUACUCGGUGUUCAUUUGAUCAUUAUUACCCGAUGGUGCGGGUUCUUAUGCAGAGCCGUGGCAUUGGAGUAAUCCUCUACUU
rnacentral:pre_miRNA from 1 species